CCGCCGGCGACCGGCGCACGGGUGAGUAACACGUAUGCAACCUGGCCGUGACAGAUGGAUAACCGGGAGAAAUCCCGCCUAAUACAACAUAAUGCCGGGAGGGGACAUCCCCUGCCGGCCAAAGGGGGCGACCCCGGUCACGGAUGGGUAUGCGGCGCAUUAGGUAGUUGGUGGGGCAACGGCCCACCAAGCCGACGAUGCGUAGGGGUUCUGAGAGGAAGGUCCCCCACAUUGGAACUGAGACACGGUCCAAACUCCUACGGGAGGCAGCAG
rnacentral:rRNA from 1 species